rnacentral:rRNA from 1 species
GACGAACGCUGGCGGCGUGCCUAAUACAUGCAAGUAGAACGCUGAAGGAGGAGCUUGCUUCUCUGGAUGAGUUGCGAACGGGUGAGUAACGCGUAGGUAACCUGCCUGGUAGCGGGGGAUAACUAUUGGAAACGAUAGCUAAUACCGCAUAAUAGUAGAUGUUGCAUGACAUUUGCUUAAAAGGUGCAAUUGCAUCACUACCAGAUGGACCUGCGUUGUAUUAGCUAGUUGGUGGGGUAACGGCUCACCAAGGCGACGCUACAUAGUCGACCUGAGAGGGUGAUUGGCCACCUUGGGAGUUGGACACUGCUCAUACUACUACGGGAGGGAGCAGUAGGGAAUGUUAGGCAAUGGACGGAAGUCUGACCGAGAAACGCCGCGUGAGUGAAGAAGAUUUUCAGAUCGUAAAGAUAUGUUGAAGGAGAAGAAAGAGGGUGAGAGUGCAAAGUUCACAGUGGGACGGUAUCUUACAAGAAAGGGACGGCUAACUACGUG